AUGAUGCUAAAGAAGAAACCGAAUGGGGGCAGAUUGUACAACGAGAAGUUUUACUGUGUGUUUUGUUCAAAGGCUUUUUUAAAAGUUACCCGCCAUUUAGAAUCAAAACACAAAGACGAACCAGAAGUGGCAAGAGCAAUGACAUAUCCAAAGGGGUCAAAAGAGAGAAAAAUACAACUCAGCUUACUAAGAAACCAAGGGAAUCGUCUGCAUAAUAACAAGGUGCUGAAAGAAAGAAAAGUAAUGGUAGUCCCCAGACAACGGUCCAGCACUGAAGUUACAGCCGGAGACUACAUGCACUGUGUAAACUGCCAGGCUUACCUCAAGAGGAAAUCAAUGUGGAGGCAUAUGCAACGAUGUCAUCUUAGCAAGAAGAUUGAAGUGUUAAAACCGGGGAAAACAAGAGUAUGUGAGUAUGCUCAGCUAGUGCCAGAGGACGUUAAUGAACGCUUUUGGAAAAUGGUGCUAAACAUGCAUAUGGACGAGGUAAUUACUGCUGUACGCAAAGAGAAAAACAUUCUGAAAUAUGGAGAACACCUUUUCAACAAACACGGCCAUGACAUCAACAAACAUGAAUAUAUCAGACAGAAGAUGCGAGAGACGGGGCGACUUGUUGUGCAAGAACACAGGAAUGGCAAGUUGAAGCAGUUGUCAGACUUUUUUGUACCAGCUAGAUUCCCUUAUGUGAUACAGGCUGUCAAAGAUGUAGCUGGCUUCAAUAAGGAAACAAACAUAUACAGAACACCUUCUCUGGCACUAAAGUUAGGCCACAACCUCAAAAAAAUUGCAAGCAUUAUUGAAUGUGAGGCUAUGAUUGCAGGUGAAGAGGAUGUCAUCCAAAAUGUUCAGGUGUUUAAAAAAAUAUGUGACACCAAGUGGAACGAGUGUGUGUCAGCACAGGCUCCACAAAAUCUUGAUGAAGCGAAAUGGAAUGCACCACAGCUGCUUCCCUUUGCAGAAGAUGUUAAAAAAAUGCAUGAGUAUCUCAAAAGACAAAGAGAGGGAUGCCAAACAAAAGUCGAGGAAGAGCCAACACAGGCAAACUGGGCAGAACUUGCAAAAAUAACUCUGUGA
rnacentral:lncRNA from 1 species